GAUGGGGUGGGUGGGUUCAGGGAGAGAGGGGUGCGUCAACAUUCACCACACCUCCCGGCGUCUUACGUGAAACGUUGUGCUUCCUGUUACAGAAGUAUCCACCAAACAAAAUAGGUUAACAGUCUUUCUUUGCAAAAUAAGAUUUUGGUGACUUGUUGGCAAAUGUUCAUAAGGUGCUGAAUCCUCUGUCUCGAAACCGCUUGCCUCAGCGCUGGGCGAGUGAGGUGACGUUUCGGAUACAAGGGGUCAUGUUGAAACCCUGUCACUUCAAAGUGAAGGGAAUACUUGCAUAUCACCGUCAUAACGAAAGCAUCGCAUAUGUGCUCGCUGCAAAAGAACAACUGAUGGACAGCUUUAAAAUCUCCAGUGAAAGAAACCCCUUCCUGACUGAGUUACUUCCUCUCCCGCUGGCCGUUCGGUCACCGCACAAUAAAAAAGCCCAAACGCAGCCCCCACAGUUUUUCAUUUUUUUUACACUGAAACUCUCUGAUGAGCGUCACGCAGUUCAGACGUUGUCAAAACGCAAAGCGAAUUGUAAAAGGACAAGUGAGAGCAAGCUGACAACCUGCACAGCUCCAUUAACGAAGUGUUGAAGUUGUGAGAAGAUUUUUUGCAGCAGUGUCGGAGCAAAAAAUUGUGUUUAAUGACGAGCUGGAUGGAAGGUGAAAUAACUGCAAAGAUACCAGAAUCCUGUCACCCUUUCACAGUACACUGGCUGUAGUCAGCCAGCUCAGAGUCAGCCCCUCAGGGUUGUGGACAUCACUGGUGAGGCCAGCAUUUAUUGCCCAACCUUAAUUGCACAGACGGCAGUUCAGAGCAACUACAUUGCUGUGGUCUGGAAUGUCAUGAUGUACAAACCAGCCUUUGUAAGAAGUUUUCCUGAGUGGCGAUCUUAACAUUUAAAAAAUACAAGUCUGUACUGGAAGAUUUCAGUGACCAGGGAAAUUCUGCAUCAAAUAACAAGUGAUAACAUGACACAACUGGCACUGAACUGAAAGAAGCAAACUGAUGGAACCAACUGACCAUAACACACAAGUUAGAAAACCGCUUUUUCGUACUUGAAGUAAUAUUUUUGAACAGGAAGGCUGUGUAGUUAAACUGACAGUAUUCUUUAUCUAACAACUUUUGCUUUCAGUCUAUAAGAAACCUUUAGCUGUGGAAAUUUAAUUUAAUAAGAGGUCUUUUAACUGCUGCAUCUUAACUUUUAUAUCAGAAAACAAGCUGUAAUUUCAUAUUUUACUUUAAAGAAGAAAAGAUAGAAGGCUUCAAGCUUGAGAGGUCUGAACAUUUAAGUAGACAGAAAGUAAGUCUUCCUCCCAGCUAUUUAAGUUGGAAAUCAGUAUUUAUGUAAACUUAUUGUAAUUGGUCUGAUUUUCAGUGAGGAUUCUCAAAUAAGCAGUUACUGGUGCUUACUAGUAUUUUGUAACCAUGACAUGAAGUGGCGAGGUAGAUUGACGAUCUGCUACUAUCAUACUGUGAUACAUUUUUUUAGUUCCCAUAACAUAAAGAUGCGAUGUAAUCAUCUUGAACUGAAGAGUUCAAUGAACCUGGUAUUUACAUUUGGAUUUACAAAUACAGGCACUUAUGUGCCUGGGCUUAAGCUAAGCAAUUUGGAUGUGCUUUAGCAUGCUUCCCUUAGAAUAAGUCAUUCUAUGAGAGAAGCAAGCUCAUAGGGUGAAGACUGAGACCUUUAUUCUGUUGGGAUAUAUGCUCUGAUACAGUGAUGAUAUCAUGAACGUGUCUCUUUCAGAUACAUUGCACACUUCCUGCAAGACAUAA